CACGGGGGGGAGCAAGCGUUGUUCGGAAUCACUGGGCGUAAAGGGCGUGUAGGCGGUCAAGUAAGUGGAAUGUGAAAGCCCCCCGGCUUACCCGGGGAUCUGCAUCCCAAACUGCUUGGCUUGAGUACGGGAGAGGAUAGGGGAAUUCCUGGUGUAGCGGUGAAAUGCGUAGAUAUCAGGAGGAACACCGGUGGCGAAGGCGCCUAUCUGGCCCGAUACUGACGCUGAGGCGCGAAAGCUAGGGGAGCAAACGGG
rnacentral:rRNA from 1 species